rnacentral:rRNA from 1 species
CCCUUAGAUGUUCUGGGCCGCACGCGCGCUACACUGAUUCAUGCAACGAGUUUUGUCCUUGGCUGAAAGGCCUGGGUAAUCUUUGAACGUGAAUCGUGCUGGGGAUAGAUGAUUGCAAUUAUUCAUCUUCAACGAGGAAUUCCUAGUAAACGCAAGUCAUCAGCUUGCGUUGAUUACGUCCCUGCCCUUUGUACACACCGCCCGUCGCUCCUACCGAUUGAAUGGUCCGGUGAAGCGUUCGGACCGUGGCCUUUGGACGGUUCGCCGUCUGUUGGCUGCGGGAAGUUCGUUAAACCUUAUCAUUUAGAGGAAGGAGAAGUCGUAACA